UACGUAUGGAGCAAGCGUUAUCCGGAUUUACUGGGUGUAAAGGGAGCGCAGGCGGUCUGGAAGUCUGAUGUGAAAGGCCGGGGCUCAACCCCGGGACUGCAUUGGAAACUGUCAGACUGGAGUGUCGGAGAGGUAAGCGGAAUUCCUAGUGUAGCGGUGAAAUGCGUAGAUAUUAGGAGGAACACCAGUGGCGAAGGCGGCUUACUGGACGAUGACUGACGCUGAGGCUCGAAAGCGUGGGGAGCAAACAGG
rnacentral:rRNA from 1 species